rnacentral:tRNA from 1 species
GCACCGGUGGUGUAAGGCGAACAUCGCUGCCCGGAACGCAGAAGAUGCGGGUUCGAGUCCCGCCCGGCGCA